GCUUCAUUCAAAUAUCUGCCCUAUCAACUUUCGAUGGUAGGAUAGUGGCCUACCAUGGUUUCAACGGGUAACGGGGAAUAAGGGUUCGAUUCCGGAGAGGGAGCCUGAGAAACGGCUACCACAUCCAAGGAAGGCAGCAGGCGCGCAAAUUACCCAAUCCCGACCGGGGAGGUAGUGACAAUAAAUAACAAUACAGGGCUCUUUCGGGUCCUGUAAUUGGAAUGAGUACAAUUUAAAUCCCUUAACGAGGAACAAUUGGAGGGCAAGUCUGGUGCCAGCAGCCGCGGUAAUUUCAGCUCCAAUAGCGUAUAUUAAAGUUGUUGCAGUUAAAAAGCUCGUAGUUG
rnacentral:rRNA from 1 species